UACAGAGGGUGCGAGCGUUAAUCGGAAUUACUGGGCGUAAAGCGCACGUAGUCGGCUUGCCAAGUCGGGUGUGAAAUCCCCGGGCUCAACCUGGGAACUGCAUCCGAAACUGGCUUGCUAGAGUAUGGGAGAGGGAGGCGGAAUUUCUGGUGUAGCAGUGAAAUGCGUAGAUAUCAGAAGGAACAUCAGUGGCGAAGGCGGCCUCCUGGACCAAUACUGACGAUCAGGUGCGAAAGCGUGGGGAGCAAACAGG
rnacentral:rRNA from 1 species